AUUGAACGCUGGCGGCAGGCCUAACACAUGCAAGUCGAGCGGAUGAAGGGAGCUUGCUCCUGGAUUCAGCGGCGGACGGGUGAGUAAUGCCUAGGAAUCUGCCUGGUAGUGGGGGAUAACGUCCGGAAACGGGCGCUAAUACCGCAUACGUCCUGAGGGAGCAAGUGGGGGAUCUUCGGACCUCACGCUCUCAGAUGAGCCUAGGUCGGAUUAGCUAGUUGGUGGGGUAAAGGCCUACCAAGGCGACGAUCCGUAACUGGUCUGAGAGGGUGAUCAGUCACACUGGAACUGAGACACGGUCCAGACUCCUACGGGAGGCAGCAGUGGGGAAUAUUGGACAAUGGGCGAAAGCCUGAUCCAGCCAUGCCGCGUGUGUGAAGAAGGUCUUCGGAUUGUAAAGCACUUUAAGUUGGGAGGAAGGGCAGUAAGUUAAUACCUUGCUGUUUUGACGUUACCAACAGAAUAAGCACCGGCUAACUUCGUG
rnacentral:rRNA from 1 species